UGGCGGACGGGUGAGUAACGCGUGGGAAUCUACCCAGUAGUGGGGGACAACUACCGGAAACGGUAGCUAAUACCGCAUACGCCCUAUGGGGGAAAGGCUUCGGCCGCUAUUGGAUGAGCCCGCGUCAGAUUAGCUAGUUGGUAGGGUAAAGGCCUACCAAGGCAACGAUCUGUAGCUGGUCUGAGAGGACGAACAGCCACACUGGGACUGAGACACGGCCCAGACUCCUACGGGAGGCAGCAGUGGGGAAUAUUGGACAAUGGGCGAAAGCCUGAUCCAGCAAUGCCGCGUGUGUGAAGAAGGCCUGCGGGUUGUAAAGCACUUUCAGUUGGGAAGAUGAUGACGUUACCAACAGAAGAAGCACCGGCUAAAUCCGUGCCAGCAGCCGCGGUAAUACGGAUGGUGCGAGCGUUAAUCGGAAUUACUGGGCGUAAAGCGCGCGUAGGCGGCUAAGUCAGUCAGAAGUGAAAGCCCCGGGCUCAACCUGGGAAUUGCUUUUGAUACUGCUUAGCUAGAGUUUGGUAGAGGAUAGUGGAAUUCCAGGUGUAGCGGUGAAAUGCGUAGAUAUCUGGAGGAACAUCAGUGGCGAAGGCGACUGUCUGGACCAAAACUGACGCUGAGGUGCGAAAGCGUGGGUAGCAACAGGAUUA
rnacentral:rRNA from 1 species